rnacentral:rRNA from 1 species
GGUGUGUAGGCGGAACUUUAAGUAGGAAGUGAAAGGUUGGAGCUCAACUCCAACACUGCUCCCUAUACUGGGGUUCUUGAGUCCCGGAGAGGAAGAUGGAACGACACGUGUAGCGGUGAAAUGCGUUGAUAUGUGUCGGAACACCAAUGGCGAAGGCAGUCUUCUGGACGGGAACUGACGCUGAGACACGAAAGCCAAGGGAGCGAACAGGAUUAGAUACCCUGGUAGUCUUGGCCCUAAACUAUGUUCACUAGGUGUCGGGGGUUUCCCUCGGUGCCGCAGCUAACGCAUUAAGUGAACCGCCUGGGGACUACGGCCGCAAGGUUGAAACUCAAAGGAAUUGGCGGGGGCCCGCACAAGCGGUGGAGCAUGUGGCUUAAUUCGAUGCAACGCGAAGAACCUUACCAGGGCUUGACAUGUAGCUGCAAGCCGCCGAAACGUGGUCGCCUUCGAGGGUGCUACACAGGUGGUGCAUGGCUGUCGUCAGCUCGUGUUGUGAAAUGUUGGGUUAAGUCCCGCAACGAGCGCAACCCUCAUGUUCUGUUACCAGCGAGUAAAGUCGGGGACUCGGAACAAACUGCCUCUGUAAGGAGGAGGAAGGUGGGGAUGACGUCAA